rnacentral:rRNA from 1 species
UACGUAGGGUGCAAGCGUUGUCCGGAAUUAUUGGGCGUAAAGAGCUCGUAGGCGGUCUGUCGCGUCGGCUGUGAAAACCCGGGGCUCAACCCCGGGCCUGCAGUCGAUACGGGCAGACUAGAGUGUGGUAGGGGAGACUGGAAUUCCUGGUGUAGCGGUGAAAUGCGCAGAUAUCAGGAGGAACACCGGUGGCGAAGGCGGUUCUCUGGGCAUUACCUGACGCUGAGGAGCGAAAGUGUGGGGAGCGAACAGG